UAUCCAGACUCCUACGGGAGGCAGCAGUGGGGAAUAUUGCACAAUGGGGGAAACCCUGAUGCAGCGACGCCGCGUGAGUGAAGAAGUAAUUCGUUAUGUAAAGCUCUAUCAGCAGGGAAGAAACAGACGGUACCUGAGUAAGAAGCCCCGGCUAACUACGUGCCAGCAGCCGCGGUAAUACGUAGGGGGCAAGCGUUAUCCGGAUUCACUGGGUGUAAAGGGAGCGUAGGCGGCGACGCAAGUCUGGAGUGAAAGCCCGGGGCCCAACCCCGGGACUGCUCUGGAAACUGCGUCGCUGGAGUACGGGAGGGGCAGGCGGAAUUCCUGGUGUAGCGGUGAAAUGCGUAGAUAUCAGGAGGAGCACCGGCGGCGAAGGCGGCCUGCUGGACCGUGACUGACGUUGAGGCUCGAGAGCGUGGGGAGCAAACAGGAUUAGAUACCCUAGUAGG
rnacentral:rRNA from 1 species